rnacentral:rRNA from 1 species
UACAGAGGUCUCAAGCGUUGUUCGGAUUCAUUGGGCGUAAAGGGUGCGUAGGCGGCGCGGUAAGUCGGGUGUGAAAUUUCGAGGCUUAACUUCGAAACUGCAUUCGAUACUGCCGUGCUUGAGGACUGGAGAGGAGACUGGAAUUUACGGUGUAGCGGUGAAAUGCGUAGAUAUGUGGAGGAAUACCGAUGGCGAAGGCAGCCCCCUGGGAUAACACUGACGCUCAUGCACGAAAGCGUGGGGAGCAAACAGG